rnacentral:rRNA from 1 species
ACACAUGCAAGUCGAGGGGAAACGACAUCGAAAGCUUGCUUUUGAUGGGCGUCGACCGGCGCACGGGUGAGUAACGCGUAUCCAACCUGCCCACCACUUGGGGAUAACCUUGCGAAAGUAAGACUAAUACCCAAUGACGUCUCUAGAAGACAUCUGAAGGAGAUUAAAGAUUUAUCGGUGAUGGAUGGGGAUGCGUCUGAUUAGCUUGUUGGCGGGGUAACGGCCCACCAAGGCGACGAUCAGUAGGGGUUCUGAGAGGAAGGUCCCCCACAUUGGAACUGAGACACGGUCCAAACUCCUACGGGAGGCAGCAGUGAGGAAUAUUGGUCAAUGGACGAGAGUCUGAACCAGCCAAGUAGCGUGCAGGAUGACGGCCCUAUGGGUUGUAAACUGCUUUUAUAAGGGAAUAAAGUGAGUCUCGUGAGACUUUUUGCAUGUACCUUAUGAAUAAGGACCGGCUAAUUCCGUGCCAGCAGCCGCGGUAAUACGGAAGGUCCGGGCGUUAUCCGGAUUUAUUGGGUUUAAAGGGAGCGUAGGCCGGAGAUUAAGCGUGUUGUGAAAUGUAGAUGCUCAACAUCUGCACUGCAGCGCGAACUGGUUUCCUUGAGUACGCACAAAGUGGGCGGAAUUCGUGGUGUAGCGGUGAAAUGCUUAGAUAUCACGAAGAACUCCGAUUGCGAAGGCAGCUCACUGGAGCGCAACUGACGCUGAAGCUCGAAAGUGCGGGUAUCGAACAGGAUUAGAUACCCUGGUAGUCCGCACGGUAAACGAUGGAUGCCCGCUGUUGGUCUGAAUAGGUCAGCGGCCAAGCGAAAGCAUUAAGCAUCCCACCUGGGGAGUACGCCGGCA